UUUUUUUUUCUUUUUUUUUUGGGGGGGUCUUUAGGGCUGCACCCAUGGCAUAUGGAGGUUCCCAGGCUGGGGGUAGAAUUGGAGCUAUAGCCGCUGGCCAACACCACAGCCACAGAAAUGCAGGAUCUCAGCCGCAUCUGCGACCUACACCACAGCUCAUGGCAACGCUGGAUCCUUAACCCGCUGAGUGAGGCCAGGGAUCGAACCCACAUUCUCAUGGAUACUAGUUGGGUUCAUUACCACUGAGCCAGGAUGGGAAUUCCUGAUACCACUUUCAACUUUCCUCCCCAACGCACAGGAACUAAGGUCACAUAAGAAAGAGCAAAAGAGUAACUUGUAUUAACUUGUAUUAAGCACCACUCUGGCAAGAUGCAUUAUGUUAACUCUGCACAAGUCCUUCGGUUUGAAUGUCAUAACCAUCCUGGGAGGUCCAUGUGUCACGGUCCCCACUUAACAUCUGAAGGAACUAAGGCUGAGCGAGAUCACAUGACCUGCCCAAGGCUGCGGAGAGCAAGAAUGGAACGCAGCUCUCUGAAUCCAGGCCUGGUGAUCCUUUCUGCAGGCGACACCAGUGCCCUAAACAAAGAGGGCAGAGGCCCCAAACGGUGCCAGACUCAUGGCAUCACCAUCGUGAAUUAUCAUCACCUCCAUUGUCACGGACUCAAUUGUAUUUCAUGAAGGAGAAAAGGUACCAUAUGCGCUUUGCAAGAUUCCUGAGCAUAUACGUUUCAUUAAAAUCAGCUGCUACCAAUGACCGCCUAUGGUCACUGCCUGCUUAGCACGUGUGAGAGGCUUGACUGCAUGUUUGUAAUAACUUUUAGGACAACCCCGUAAAGCAGAUUUUCGUGCUGGUUUUAUAACUGAGGGCAUGGAGGCUCAGCGAGGCCAAACGAUGUUGCCCUCAUUGUGCACAGCUGGAACGAAUGCACAGGUCUGGGUGCUCAGGGCCCCCCCCCCCACUUCGAACUGGACACAUCUUCAGCAUAGCUGUUACUCCAGAGGGGCUUCUUCUGCUGGGCAGCACAAGCUGGAAAACCUAGGCCACCUCUCAACGCCCCUCCCCUCAUUUCACUCCCCCCCCAUUAACCCCUCAUGGAAUCCUGCUGGUUCCUAUUCUCCUGAUCCAGCCCACUUCACCAUCUCCGCCUUCACUCCCCAAGUCCAAGCCAAGCCCCCUCUCACCUGAGCUUCUGCGACGUCCUCCCUCCUGGUCUCCCAGCAUCCGUGCUCUGGAGAUGUGAUCCCUUCCCUGGCUCCAGGGCCCCCAGAGCCUGGCUCCUGCUGGUAGCUCAGCUUCCACUCACCGCAGGCCCCGCCCCUCUCAUUUCCUCAAACACCCACUGUCUGUCCUGCUUCAGAGCAUUCACAUAGGCUGUUUCACAUAGCUUUGCAGGCCCUGCCUUCAGAUGUCAGCUCAAACGUCACUUCCUCCAGGAAGCCUUCCCAGACACCCUUGUCUAGACCCACAGGUACACUCCAGGAUAGUUGUGCCUGCGGUUGAAAUAGGGCAACAUAUGCUGCCCACGAGAACCUCAGCCCCUCCCUGGGGUCCUCCAGCCUCCCCACAGUCCGGAGGAAGAGGCACAUGUGACAAGCAGAAGCCUCCCAGACCCCGCCUGGGCAUUACGGCAGAGGCUGUUCUGAUUAGUCUGCAUACUUGCAGUCCACGUUGAUAAAUAUUUUGAAAGUCACUCCUGCUCUUGUUCUUGUACUUCUCACAGUCUGCAGUUAUAUAUUUAUUUGAGCAACUUUUGGAGUCCUGAGCGCUGGGAGGCAGGGAGCAGAAAAGUUGGGUUUAUGGUGUCCAGGCUCAGUAGAGAGGACCUCAGGGACAUAAUGAAAUAAAUGAAUGGGAAGUGUCACUUCCUCCACCUCCCUGGCUGUAUCUGCUCAGGUUACCUACCGACUUCAGGGACCAAGCAAUGAAGAAGCUGGGCUGAUAGAGCCAAGCUUCAAGGUGGGCUCAGCAGCUGCGGGGCGGGGUAGGGGGUGGGAGGGGUGGCUGACUUUCCUGCUGGGAUGAGGUCAUGGUCUUUGCUCCCUUCAGACACUGGGGGAAUAGGAGGAAGGCAGUCUUUCUGGGCUUGAGGUUUUCCUGUUCCUUAGUCACUUUAUCCAUCUCGUAAAGAGCAUGCAAACACAGCCCCGGGUUUUAUUAAUCAUGCAACACCUUAGUCCCCAAGGCUGCCUUUUCUCAUGGUUGCUAUUGUAAGACUGUCUUAGCAAGAUGCCCUGCCUCACUGCUCACUCCCUCUGAUUCUUCUCCUGCACCAAGCAUAGUCUUAAAAGGUGCAGCUGAUCUGACCUUUCUUCUAUUGAAAGAUCUGUGACUUCCCGCUGUCCUCGAGAUCCAUUCGAACCCUCCCCUAGUUUACAAGGUCUUCCUCUCUGGGUCUUUUCUCUCCCUCCAACCUCCCCAUCUGCCUCUUUCCUCAUUCUCUUCUAUGAGCUCCGUCCACACACACACUUCUCCCUGUCUCAGGGCCUUUGCACAUGCUGUCCUCAUUUCCAGAAUUUCCCCAGCUCAUUGCCACGGACCAUCUAUAUUUUAGCUUAAAAGGCAUUUACUUUGAAAAACCUUUACUAACACCAGCCAGUCAGCUCCUCCUAUGACCUACUGCUCAGCACACCUGAACGACCAGUUCAAUAUCUUGAACAGAAGCCCGGCAAGGGAACAGACUGUGUCAUCUUGUCCAUUGCCCUAUCUAUCCCAUUGCUCAGUCAGGUUCCUGACACAGAGCCUCAAUCAAUAUUUGAUGGAAGAAUCAACAGUACGAUGACGCUGUACGCUUGGGCUUUGUCUCCAGGGUCAAAGCUGAAAUGUGUAUUUUAAGGGUUACUAUAGAGAUUUCAGGAAUGAUCCUAUCAACAUACCUCCCUUCUUCCGAGGUGUGGAAGGGGUGUGAAAAUUAAGGGAUGCAGCUCCCUAAGGGACCAGACCGAACUCCUAGGGGAGAACUUGAACCACUAACCAACCAGCAAGCAAACAAAUAAAUAAAUUGAUAAAUAAGAAAGACUAGAAAGGGAAGCAGGAGGGAAGCAGAAGAAUGGAAGACGAGCUCCCCGAAGCAAAAUGCUGAGGAAGUGUGCAGGAAAGGACGCGUUGCAGAUUUACUCUGCAGGAAAGGCAGCACCCCGGCAAGCUGAAAACUGGGUCGUGCUGUUCCAGGACUGGAGCCCUUCUCUCCCCUGACAAGCUCUAUGAUCCUCGGCCAGGCAUUUGUCUCUACAUCCACGCUUAUUUCUCUGCACAACAAGAAGUGCCCAGGCCCCCCAGAUCCUUGAUUGCUGCACAGGAGCCUCAGAGAAGAACCACAGGAAGGAGGGUGGAACUCCUAGAGGCGGGAGAGUUAGGGAUGGAGGAUCACGGGGCUCUCCGUGCAGGGAGCCCCAAGGGGGAGCCCAGGCCCGUGAGGGUGGGGGAAGGCCUCCAUCCCCUCCCCUCCCCAUCCAUCCCAGGCUUCUCGGACAUCCUCAGCCACUAACAAAUUAGGAGACAUUGGUCCAAUGUAACUGAGCAUCCAUGAGGCUGCACAGGGCCCAGGAAAUUGAACCUGAAGCCGCUACAGGUGUGGAAGCAGAAGGGACUGGAGAGACAGCAUGAGGCCAGGCUGGGCAGCUGAACAGGUGGCCCCAGGCCUCAUACCACUGGAUCCCAGAGCCAAGGUGUUCAGGAGUCCUGGAGCUCAUCGGGGACAAGGAGCUCAGCCUUUCUGUGCCAUGGACCCCUUUGGCAGAUGCUUGAAACUUAUCCUCUCAGAAAAAUGUUUCCAAAUGCAGAAAAUAAAGCCCAUAGGAUUACAAUGGAAAUCGAUUCUGUUAGAACAGCUACGACAAUGUUAAAAUGACCAAUUUCUGAUACAGGAAUAUUUUUAUUUCUUUUUGAAGGCAAGAUGUAUAACAAGAGCUAGUGGUAGGUCUAGUUGGCGAGGUACCUCCCACAACUUUAAUGGGCUACAAAAAGAUCUGAUUCCUCCUGGUAACAAAGUCCCAGAGACUUCUAAAGCUAUGCUGGUUUAUGGUUUAUAGUCACAAUGGGAGAAAAUACUAAUUUUUUCCCCAGCCACGUGUUCACUUUAAAAGCCUCUGAUUUAGGGCAGUGACCUGACUCUACAGAGGAGGAAACUGGAGCCUCCAGAGGGGCAGAGAGUUGCACAGAGUGACCCAGCAAAUUCGAGUUCAAAGCAGACUCCAGCAUGGCCUCCUGCUGCCUCCAGCCAAGCUCUGACUUUGCAGAGCCACCCCCCACAUGCACGAGUCCCCAAACACAUUACCUAGGAUGGUCCCUUCACUUCCUAGAGCCUUGGUUUCCUUAUCACUAAAAUAGGAACCACCACACCCACCUCCGCAGGCUCCUGGGAGAGCAGGAUGAGAAAAUGAACAGCAAAGGGACUUUUUACCUGGACAGUGCUUUGAACUUGUGUAAAUCAGAUAUUGGAAACCAAGGGAGAUGAACUCUGGGUUUCAGGGAGAGGGUAGGUCCAGGGUGGUCCGGGGUGGAACACUCAAAUGCCUAUAAGGGUAAGAUAAUAAGGAGGGGUGGGGACUGUGGCAAAGUCAAGAACUCAUGCCAUUCUGCAAAGGGCAGCCACCAUUCACUCUCAGUGGAGGAUGCCAUCCAGGAAGGUGGGCCUAAUGGUGCCAAAACCGAUUUUCUAAGAGAUGGCAGAAAUCUAUAUUUUUUUGGCAAAAUGUCUUGGUUUUUAUAAAUUGUCUUGAGAAUUAAAACAGGAUGAGAGCUCCCAAACAUAUCUACAGAUGGUCAGUUUGCAGCUUCAGGGGUAUGCAGGUAGGGGGUUCCACAGUCUGGGAACAGAGAUGAAACAGGUCAGUGCUUCCCCCCACACAGGUCAAGAGAGCUCUCACCCCACACUGGUCUUGGAGGCCAGGUGGCACCCGUGCAGGGUGGGCCUUCCUCCCAGGGAAACCGAGGCCCUGGCAAUGGAGAUGGCUGGCCCUGAAAUUGGGCUCCCCACCCCCUCACUGCUGCGAGGCUGGUUUGUUUUAUUAAUAACCCCAGAUCAUGCUCACAGCACACCAAGGUAAACAGAGAUGCUUCCAGGGCGGGGGAUGCAGGCAGUUCUCAGAGAUGAAGAAAUAGGCUUCCAAAUAUAAAUAGGAGGAUAAGAUAAAUAAACUGAGAUCCAAGUCUGCUUCACACUGAUCUGCAGGCUGUGAGCCACAGACUUGGAGAACCGUGGAUCUCUGGCGCUGGACGGGACCUUUGCUGGGAGGAUGGGGAAACAGGCCCGGAAAAGGGAAAAGCAUUGCCAGGAGUUCCCGCUGGGGCUCAGCAGGUUAAGAAGCCAACACAGUCUCUGUGAGGAUGCAGCUGGGCUCGUUUCUGCUGAGCCACAAUGGGAACUCCCGGAGGUAAUGGAUGUAUUGAUGGCAUUGAUUAUUAUGAUGGUUUCACGAGUCUAUACUUACCUCCAAACACAUCAAGUUAUAUAUUAAUUACCUACAGCUUUCUAAUACGUCAAAUGUAUCUCAAUAAAACAGUUUAGAAAUGCUAUAUGGAUUAGUUACUGGAUCCGUAAUUACAGGCCAGAUGUGGUUCAAGACAGGUACUUUGGGAGUUCCCACCAUGGCGCAGUGGGUUAAGAAUCCACUGCAGAGGUUCGGGUUGCUGCAGAGGCGCUCAGAGCCAAUCCCUGGCCUGGGAACUUCCAUUUGCCAUGGGUACAGCCAUUCAAAACAAAACAAAACAAAAGACAGGUUCCUUGCCCUGAAGAAGAUUUGGCUCAGGAGUGGUUAAAGUCUUGACAGUCUUACUUCUUCCCCAUGGCCAAUUUGAAAAGUAGCUCCAGGGAGUCUCCUAAUACAUUCUGAGCAGUUAUAAAAAAAAUCCCAUCAGAGACAGAAGUCAAAUAAGUACAUGAAGCUUACCUCUGCUGCCUUCUAACCAUGCUUCUCUAAAUUCCAUCACCUGUUCCUGAACUCCAUUCUGCCAAGUUCUCUGCCAGUGAACACAACAGCCAUGGCUACUACCCUUUGGAGUUUAUACUCCAGCGGAGAGACAAGUACUAGCUAGCAACUGAUUACUGGGCUAGUGAUAAAUACAGAGGGAUGCAGGAGAAGCUGGGAGAGCAGAACAAGGGCAGCUCCACCAGAUCUAGGGAAGCUCUGCGAAGGUCUGUGCAGGAAGUGAUGCUGGAGAAGCAUGGUACCAUGGAGGAAGCUGAGGAUGCCCAAUGGGGGUCGGGGCGAGCCUGCGGUGGGGAGGAGACUGGGGAGGCUGGGUCCUACAAGACUCAGAAAUGUGAUAAGGACUUUGAACUCCAUUCUGGGGUCAGAAGGGUCGGGGGAAGCCACUGAUGGCCCUGAGCAGGGAGUCCACUAUCAAAGGGGUGGUAUGCCGGCUUGCGUGGCUCAGGAGAGGCAUAGGUGCAUCUCUUCUCAACUCCAUGUCUACACACAGUAUGUUGGCCUCAGGAAGUCGGCCACGGUGUGAAUAUUUACGAGGCAGAAACUGGAAAACACUUCAGAUCAGGGCUCCCUCUGCCUCAGAGGGCCAAUUGCUGAAUAUUUGCUGGCUCAUCACUGAUUGGAGAGGACAAGGAUGGUGGUGGGAAGAGCGGUUAGGAAGAGGAACCCAGCAGGAGAGAAGGAUGUGGGACCAGAGAGGGGGCAGAAGGGAUGGAGAGAAGGAACUGAGUGUGUGAUUACCUCGCAGUUUUGUACGCUAAAAAGGCACCACGAAUAUCUCCUAAGCCUCUCC
ensembl:lncRNA